UCACCACAGGAUCUUACAACUCAUGCUCGGAUUUUAGAGAACAACAAGCAAUGGGAUGGGGAGAAGUGCAUCAUCUUGACUUGCAGUUUCACUCCAGGAUCAUGCUCAUUAACUGCAUAUAAGCUUACCCCAAGUGGGUAUGAGUGGGGACGUGUCAACAAGGACACUGGAAGCAACCCUCAUGGUUACUUGCCAACUCAUUAUGAGAAGGUCCAGAUGCUAUUGAGUGAUCGUUUCCUUGGUUUCUAUAUGAUUCCUGAUAAUGGCCCAUGGAACUACAACUUCAUGGGAGUGAAACACACAGUGAGCAUGAAAUACGGAAUCAAGCUGGGGACACCACGGGAGUAUUA
rnacentral:misc_RNA from 1 species